CUCUAGUUUAGGGAGGAGCAAGAGGAAGAGGUGUUAAAUAGUAGGGGAAAAGAAGCUGGGGUCCCAUCUUAGGGGAGGUUUGUAGAUUUCAAACUGGAAGCGCGUAGUGUGAGCGUCCAGCCGCCCUGGGUUGAACUCUGGCCCCACCGCUCUCCCUCUGUGCGACCUUGGGCACGGAACUUAAACCCUGAACUGAAUGUCUGGGGUCGAAUAAGGUUAAAAAUCCACGGUGGUUGUGAGGAUUAAAAGCGAUCACGGAAAACGUCCCUGUGAUGCAGAGUAGUUCGCCAAUACUUUAGCUAUCCUUGCGGAGCCCAUGCUUUGGUAUUUUGCAAGUGGGGUUGCGGGACUCUGGUUAAAAUAUUAAAUGAUUCUUCCGAGGUCAGGUAGUAUCAGAGACCAGGCUUGAGGUUCAGCGCUCUUUGUCCCAAGCAGCCUGCCUAUAAGGCAGGGAAAAGAAAGCAUUGCAGGGAAACUACUUUCAGGGCUUCCUUUGUAAUCCUCACCGCCUACCCUCAUCUCGGGACCUAAGAACUGAUAAACCAGGCUAUGACAUCUGGGCGUCAGUUACUUAGCUUCCAAAUUCGCACCUGCCCAAGCAAGAGAAGGAAAGCUGUCCUCGGUGUCAUUCAGACGCCUACAAUUUCCUCUGAAGUUGUAAUGGAAGGGUAAACACGGUAGCAAAAAACUCCAGGUCUUCCAUAAUGUCUAGGUAGCUGAGGAAAAGUUCAAUUAGCUUCCAUUUACCUAAUGUCUACUGAGUAGGCCGAAAAGCCUUGCCAGGCAGACAUAGUGGCCAGUGCUUGUAAUCCCUGCUCUCUGGGAGGCUGAGGUCUGAUUCAUGUGACCCUGCCAAGUACCAAUUUGAAUGCAGUCUCUUCCAACAUAGGUUGCUGGAGGCACUCUAUAGGAAUGAGUUCCUUUUGCAGAGCGUUUGGUAUACAUCAUUCCUCACAGACUUUAUGAUCUGCUAUAGAGUCUCACUAUGGAGUUCAGCCUGGCCUUGAACUGAAAGCAAUCCUCCUGUCUCAGCCUUCCAGGGGCUGGAAUCACAGAUGCAUGCCACGAUGCCCGACCAAAACAAAGUUUCUUACUCCUCCUUGUGCCAGUAGCAUUCCCAGUUUCCAGCUGUACAACCUCAGAGUCAGUCUGUUUUUCCUGUCUCUAUUCUGACAGUCUCCCAGUCCCACACUGUCUACCUCAUCCAUGGCAGAGGUAACCACACACUGGUCUCUAGCCCCUUGGUCACUGUUCCAGGGGGAACCCCCGUCUCUCCACUAAGCCCUUCCCAAGCCUCCUGACUGGACAGGGAAAAAAGCCUGUCCAGCCAAGUCCCUCAAUACCCGGCACUCCAGAGGAGUCUUUUGAAAGGCAGAGAAGGGAGCAUGUUGCUAUCCAGCUUCCAAGUCCUCCUGAUCCUCCUUGACUCUUCUGGAAAAGGCCAGACUUCUUCUUCAGUGGCUUCUUAUGAUCUGUCCCUGGCCCAUUUCUUCAGCUGUGGCUCCCACUAUUUUGGCAAGGGCUGUUUUACUCCCUAGAUGGUGAAAGUGUGCCCCAGUCAGCCUCUGUAUCAACCAUAGCUUAUUAGAGAAACAGAUUUAAUGCAAAAUAUACACAUAUAUAGGAAUAUACUAGAGUAGCUUACAAUGGCCACCCACAGAGUCAGAUGUGUAUACCUGCAAAAGGGCUAUCUAUGUGCUGGAGAUCGGAAGGAUCCAGUCAAAGGCCUAGGGCUACUGUUAUGUCCUGGACAAGUUUGUAUCAAGAUGCUCAGGGGUCUGUGCUGGAGGCUGAAGCGGUUGCACUGGAAGCCAGGAGAUGAUGCCCAAGGUGAAGGUCAAGACUGGAGCGCCUCCAAAGAAACAAGUGAGCCUUCCUUCUUUGUUUCUCUUUUAUUCCAUUCAGGUGGCAAGCCUAUUUUCUGCUGUUACUCACACCCAGGCUGAGUCUUCAGUAUUCAGUAAAUCCCUUCAGCAAUACCCAGAACUAUGCUGAUCCAGUUUAGUUGGGUGUUUCUUACUCAAAUUGACUAUCAUAGUCUCUGAAUUGUGACUCUCUCACGUCAGCCUCCCAAGUAGAUGAGAUUACAGUUGUGCGCCACCAAGCCUGGCCCUUCUCUUACGUAUCCUGUUCUUUGCUAGUACAGGUCCACCCACCUCAAAUUCUCUGCCAUGGCCUCUCUACCAUCUACCAGAACAAUCUUACCUCUACAUUCUAGGUCUAUGACAGCAGGCCACAUUACAUAUCUCCUCUUAUUCUGUGUUGUAUUUACAUGUCUUUUUCUGCUCCUUGGAAUAUGAGCUUCUGGAGACAAAGGGUUUGGGCUUAUAUCAUUCAUGUAUGUAACUCUGGCACUGCCACAGUAUCUGGUACACAAAAAAGACUCCAUAAGUGCUUAUUGAGUGAGUUAGUGUAAGCCCCACAAAGGGAAAAAGCUAUUGCAUUUCUUUGAUUCUUCAUGAAGCUAUGCCUAGUGUUGUACAAGAAUAAUUAGAUACUCAAAAUAACAAAUGAAUGAAGGGUAGUGUUGCGAUGUUACAAACCUGCCAUAUAUUAGAGACUAAAUUUAAUCCUUUCUGUUGAGGAACUCAGUUAAUCCCCAGCAACUUUAUAGAGUAGGCAUUUCUAUCCAUAUUCUGCAGAUAAGGAAAUCAAAGCUCAAGGAGAAGUGACAGGGCCAUAGUCACACUGACGGUGAUAAUGAAGCCAGGAUUUGCUUACCCGUUCACCUAAUUUGGAAAUAGCCUAUUUUGUAAGAGAUUCUUGGGUUACUGAGGGGAUGGUGGCAGUGGUGAUGCUCAUGACCACUGUUACACUGUUAUGUUUUCUCUUCUCCUUGUCUGCUUCAUCAUAACCAAAGGCUGCUGCACUUGAUCAGAGCAAUCUUUGUGCCAACAUGAAGAAAUGUGAUUGCAUAACAUGCAGUGAAUAUGUACAAGUCAGGCUACAUGGAGAUCAUGAUUCUCUGUCUCACACUCGCUUUUGCUCUCUCUGCAGCAAACUCAUAUAUCCAUAAUUGAAAUCAGAAUUACUAUGCUCACAGUUAAAUGUUGAGCAUGUAUGGAUAAGAUAUUUAAAACUGGCCUUUGGGAUCUGAAGAACCCAGGGGAGGGGAAGGGAAUGGAAGAAAAAGUUGGAUGUGUUAUGUACAUGGACCAACUCCCCACAAGGAAUGCAGUCAUUAUGUGCUGCGAACAUGUGCUAAUAAAAAUAAAAACCCAAACAAGAUAAAGUCGGGUCUACAGCCAUUGCUCGUGUGUUCAUUUGAGUACUUCUGUAAGAGAAGAGAAAGAACAUUCAGUUCCUGUUCUGAGGAAUUCUGCUCCCGGAUUCCUGAAGGACCCUGAGUUUUGCUUGGGCCUCGGACAGUUAUGAGCACACCCUUGAUUGGAGAGCAUGCUUCCCUAUGGAGAAGGUCAACAUCUUCCCCAGAACAGCUACCUGAAGGGGAAGGUGGCAAAUGAGGAAGAAGUGGACACACAGGAAAGUGAGAACCCAAAUCUACACAGUUAGCAGGACUGGCUCAGUCAGUCCUGGUUAUGAACAACAUGAAUUAGCUCUUUUGCCCUCGUAGGCUCUUAAGACUGGUGCAUUAAAAGAAGGCUUGAUGCAUGCACUGUAUGCAGCACAACCUGGGGGGUGCUAUUUGCAGGAAAUUUAUGUGAAUGGCAUCCUUGAGCUGUAUGGCGCUCAUCCUCCAUGCAUUUCUCUGUCUGAUUUGGCAAUUUAAAUGAUCCCAGUUGUACCUUUACUGAUGCAGAUGUUUAUGAAAUACCUACCAGUUGUCACCUCAGAAAUGGUAAAUGAACUUUACUGUAUCAAAUUAUAUUUAAAGAUGUGUGCCUAUAUGAAAGUGCUUAACAAACUGCUCACUACCAUAUAUUGUAAAGAAGAUCGGUUAAGCAUCUGCUAAGUUUUAGCCAUGACUCAAAAACCUGGAUUCAACAAAUGCACUGAGCACCAACUACAAAUCUUAGAAAAGCUAUUAACUAAUUCUUUUAAAAAGAAAAAGCUGGGCUGGGGA